AGAGUUUGAUCCUGGCUCAGGACGAACGCUGGCGGCGUGCUUAACACAUGCAAGUCGAACGAUGAACCCGCUUCGGUGGGGGAUUAGUGGCGAACGGGUGAGUAACACGUGGGCAAUCUGCCCUGCACUCUGGGACAAGCCCUGGAAACGGGGUCUAAUACCGGAUACGACCACUUGGGGCAUCUCAUGGUGGUGGAAAG
rnacentral:rRNA from 1 species